GUAAUGCAUGGAGCAACCUGACCCUGGAGAGGGGGACAACAGCUGGAAACGGCUGCUAAUACCGCAGUGAUGGUCACCGGGGGGCAUCUCCUGGUGACCAAAGAUUUAUCGCUUUGGGAUGGGCUCAUGUCUGAUUAGAUAGUUGGCGGGGCAACGGCCCACCAAGUCUGCGAUCAGUAGCCGGACUGAGAGGUUGAACGGCCACAUUGGGACUGAGAUACGGCCCAGACUCCUACGGGAGGCAGCAGUGGGGAAUAUUGGGCAAUGGGCGCAAGCCUAGACCCAGCAACGCCGCGUGAAGGAAGAAGGUCUUCGGAUUGUAAACCUUUGUCCUAUGGGAAGAUAAUGACGGUACCAUGGGAGGAAGCCACGGCUAACUACGUGCCAGCAGCCGC
rnacentral:rRNA from 1 species